CGCUGGCGGCGUGCCUACACAUGCAAGUCGNAACGAGAAACCUCGGGCUUGCUCGAGGAAAGUAAAGUGGCGCACGGGUGAGUAACGCGUGGGUAACCUGCCCCUGAACCUGGGAUAACUUCGCGAAAGCGUCGCUAAUACCGGAUAUUGUCCAUUUAGUUGUGGCUUUUUGGAUGAAAGGUGACCUCUUCAUGAAAGUUGCCAUUCAGGGAUGGGCCCGCGUACCAUUAGCUUGUUGGUAGGGUAAUGGCCUACCAAGGCUACGAUGGUUAGCUGGUCUGAGAGGAUGAUCAGCCACACUGGAACUGAAACACGGUCCAGGCUCCUACGGGAGGCAGCAGUGGGGAAUCUUGCGCAAUGGGGGAAACCCUGACGCAGCAACGCCGCGUGAGUGAAGAAGGCCUUUGGGUCGUAAAGCUCUGUCAAGUGGGAAAAAAUGUUUUCGAUUAAUAGUCGAAAAAGCUGAUGGUACCACUGAAGGAAGCACCGGCUAACUCCGUGCCAGCAGCCGCGGUAAUACGGAGGGUGCAAGCGUUGUUCGGAAUUAUUGGGCGUAAAGAGCGUGUAGGCGGUUUGGUAAGUCAGAUGUGAAAGCCCUGGGCUCAACCCAGGAAGUGCAUUUGAAACUGCCAUACUAGAGUAUGGGAGAGGAGAGUGGAAUUCCCAGUGUAGAGGUGAAAUUCGUAGAUAUUGGGAGGAACACCCGUGGCGAAGGCGACUCUCUGGACCAAUACUGACGCUGAACGCGAAAGCGUGGGGAGCAAACAGGAUUAGAUACCUGGUAGUCC
rnacentral:rRNA from 1 species